rnacentral:rRNA from 1 species
GAUGAACGCUGGCGGCGUGCUUAACACAUGCAAGUCGAACGAAACACCUUAUUUGAUUUUCUUCGGAACUGAAGAUUUGGUGAUUGAGUGGCGGACGGGUGAGUAACGCGUGGGUAACCUGCCCUGUACAGGGGGAUAACAGUCAGAAAUGACUGCUAAUACCGCAUAAGACCACAGCACCGCAUGGUGCAGGGGUAAAAACUCCGGUGGUACAGGAUGGACCCGCGUCUGAUUAGCUGGUUGGUGAGGUAACGGCUCACCAAGGCGACGAUCAGUAGCCGGCUUGAGAGAGUGAACGGCCACAUUGGGACUGAGACACGGCCCAAACUCCUACGGGAAGCAGCAGUGGGGAAUAUUGCACAAUGGGGGAAACCCUGAUGCAGCGACGCCGCGUGAGCGAAGAAGUAUUUCGGUAUGUAAAGCUCUAUCAGCAGGGAAGAAAAUGACGGUACCUGACUAAGAAGCCCCGGCUAACUACGUG